rnacentral:rRNA from 1 species
UGCCUUACACAUGCAAGUCGAACGGCAGCACGGGAGCAAUCCUGGUGGCGAGUGGCGAACGGGUGAGUAAUAUAUCGGAACGUGCCCAGUCGUGGGGGAUAACGUAGCGAAAGCUACGCUAAUACCGCAUACGAUCUAUGGAUGAAAGCGGGGGAUCGCAAGACCUCGCGCGAUUGGAGCGGCCGAUAUCAGAUUAGGUAGUUGGUGGGGUAAAAGCUCACCAAGCCGACGAUCUGUAGCUGGUCUGAGAGGACGACCAGCCACACUGGGACUGAGACACGGCCCAGACUCCUACGGGAGGCAGCAGUGGGGAAUUUUGGACAAUGGGGGCAACCCUGAUCCAGCCAUGCCGCGUGUGUGAAGAAGGCCUUCGGGUUGUAAAGCUC